rnacentral:rRNA from 1 species
CAGUAGCCGCGGUAAUACAGAGGGUGCAAGCGUUAAUCGGAAUUACUGGGCGUAAAGCGUGCGUAGGCGGCUUUUUAAGUCGGAUGUGAAAUCCCUGAGCUUAACUUAGGAAUUGCAUUCGAUACUGGGAAGCUAGAGUAUGGGAGAGGAUGGUAGAAUUCCAGGUGUAGCGGUGAAAUGCGUAGAGAUCUGGAGGAAUACCGAUGGCGAAGGCAGCCAUCUGGCCUAAUACUGACGCUGAGGUACGAAAGCAUGGGGAGCAAACAGGAUUAGAGACCCCAGUAGUCCCUGUCUCUUAUAC